rnacentral:lncRNA from 1 species
UCAGAAUUAUGUCUGUGGUCUACAUUCCCACCCCAUCUUCAUUCAGUGAUGCAGCUGUCAAUUGCUUAUGCCAGCCCUGUAGCCUGUCUCCUGUAACUCCCCUGUUGAAUCCUUAGAGCCAGGCUCAUUGAGCACAUAGUAAUGACAGCUGCUUUACCAGCUAUCCAUAAAAUGGAGUCUUAAGAAGGUUGAAAAAGGCUAGAAUUUGCUGCCAGCUUGCUGGAGGCAAGUUGUGUAUGUUGCCCUGUAUCAAUGACCUCUGACCCACUUUAUAUAAAUUGAGUUUGUUGCUUUAGCCACCAUUGUAAUAACUAUGUGUCACAACAAAUAUCACAUGAGCACUUAAUUGUUUUAUAUCAAAGGAAUCUUUUUACAUACAGAUAUUGAUAGAAAAUGUUUCCCAGUCUGCAUGUUUCCCAGAACUUGACUUUCCAGUGAUGACUUUGCCAUUUACUGUGUAGCAUCACUUGUGGAUUUGUGUGCUGAUAUUGCCAGCUUUUCCUAUAUAGUUACUGCUGAUUCAUUUUCCUGAACCUUGCUUAGUGUAGGGAGCAAAGAGUAAGUCAAGAGGGCUUUGUACUUUCUGGGAUCUCCUGAUUUAUUUUUCAUGCCCCAUUUUUAUCUGGACCUAUUUUUUCCCUUAUCCUUUUUGUCCUUGUUCUUUUUAAUCUGGAUUUAUAGUCUCAGAGAUCCUGGCUUCCGUCUGUUUCUUUCCACCAAGAAGAUGCUUAUAUAGUUUUGGUCUUGUAGCUAUCAGUGGUCUGUUCCCACCCCUUUACUUGUGGGAAUUCUUGGGGCUACUUUACCUAGUUUUGUUGUAGAUAUUGUCUAUGAGAUUUUGAUUUUGCCUUUUAAUUGACUUUAUAGGUGCAAUGGGUUGGGGAAAUUUUAAAAGUGAUGCUAUCACUGUCAUUUUGAAAUUUUCCUAAGUCUUUUAGAGAAUUGUGUAUUUGGCAUCUUUUAACAUACUUAUUAACUAUUCAUCUUUGGUAAAGUGUCAGUUCAAUUAUGUUGCCCCUCUUAAAAAUGGAUGGAGCCAGAUGAGGUGGCACACACCUGAAAUCCCCGCUACUCCAGAGAUUGAGGCAGGAGGAUCAAAAGUUUGAGGUCAGCCUAGCCAACGUAGUGAAGCCCUGUCUCAAAAAUUUUUAAAGAGUUCAGGUUGUAGCUCAGUGGUAGAGCACUUGCCUAGCAUGUGCAAGGUUCUGGGUUCAAUUCCCAGUACAGGAGAAAAAAAAAGUGGUAGUUCAU